rnacentral:lncRNA from 8 species
CCCCCCUUGCUAGAUAAGGACAGGCCAAGUUCAGACCCCCAUCUGACCCCCCCUAGCUAGAUAAGGACAGGCCAAGUUCAGACCCCCAUCCGACCCCCCCCCCCCCUAGCUAGCUAAGGACAGGCCAAGUUCAGACCCCCAUCCGCUGAGUUACUGUUUGGCUUGGAGUUGACUGCAGUAGCCGUCGAAUUAACCGUUUCUCUAGUCAGUGAGUCCUUUUCUUGACCCCACAUACACUUUGCCUGCACCUUGACAUCUCUUCCGUGUGUGUUGGGGUAUAUAAUGGGUCUUGUCUAUCAGAGCAGUAUAAGGUAUUAACCCUGUGUGUGUGUGUGUGUGUAGGGGGGAUGGUGUCGAGUGUCGUCGGUCAGUGUGUGUCUGCGAGCAGCGUGUCACUCGGGGCAGUGUGAUUGACUAUGGCGGACAGAACCGCCGCCGACGACGACGACGACGUGAUCCACCUGGUCAGCUUCAACAUCCACCGUAGCCAAGGUAACAGCACAAGCAGGGGUUUCUGAAGCCAAGGCAAGAGCACACACAGGCUACCGUUAACUGUGUGUGUUUGGUGUGUGUGUGUGUGUGUAGGUCUUCGAGUGCGUAAGAGGAACUUCAUCACCAUAUUGGAUGACUCUGACGAGGAGCCGGUCGCUCUGGACCCAAACGGCCCUGUCCUGGUUUCUGACAAACCUGACGACGACGAUGAUGAUGAUGUCAGCAUACUAGAGGUAACCUUUAACCCCUGACCUCUCACCCUGUCCUGGUGUCUGACCAGCCAGACGACGAUGAUGAUGAUGAUGACAGCAUACUACCAUCCUACCGGUCUCUGUCUCGCUGUCUGACAGGUGACCAUCCUACCAGUCUCUGUGUUCAGCUGCUGACCGGUUAAUAAUGGUUAGCAUCCCUACCUUGACCUCUAACCCAGACUUGGGACAGGUUUGGAGCUGACUAGGUGACCCAUGUCUGGUCUGUAGACUCUCUAACUGUGUGUCUGUCCUAACCAGCCGUUCUCUCUCUCUCUCUCUCUCUCCUUUGCACUCUCUUUUUCUCUGCAGCCCCUGAAUCCGGCACGGCGACGUGUGAUUCGUCCAGCAGCACUGUGGGGUGUGGCCUCUGAAGGCGAUGGACCAAUCAUAGAGCUAAAAGAGGUUGAGGGUCAUCAGACCGCAACCUUUCCAUCGAGGUCACAGUACAGAGACCCCUCCGCCCCAUCCACCUCACAGUACAGAGACAGAGACACCUCCGCCCCGUCCACCUCACAGUACAGAGACCCCUCCGCCCCAUCCACCUCACAGUACAGAGACAGAGACCCCUCCGCCCCAUCCACCUCACAGUACAGAGACCCCUCCGCCCCAUCCACCUCACAGUACAGAGACACCUCCGCCCCAUCCACCUCACAGUACAGAGACACCUCCGCCCCAUCCACCUCACAGUACAGAGACAGAGACACCUCCGCCCCAUCCACCUCACAGUACAGAGACAGAGACACCUCCGCCCCAUCCACCUCACAGUACAGAGACAGAGACACCUCCGCCCCAUCCACCUCACAGUACAGAGACACCUCCGCCCCAUCCACCUCACAGUACAGAGACACCUCCGCCCCAUCCACCUCACAGUACAGAGACAGAGACACCUCCGCCCCAUCCACCUCACAGUACAGAGACAGAGACACCUCCGCCCCAUCCACCUCACAGUACAGAGACACCUCCGCCCCAUCCACCUCACAGUACAGAGACACCUCCGCCCCAUCCACCUCACAGUACAGAGACAGAGACACCUCCGCCCCAUCCACCUCACAGUACAGAGACACCUCCGCCCCAUCCACCUCACAGUACAGAGACACCUCCGCCCCAUCCACCUCACAGUACAGAGACACCUCCGCCCCAUCCACCUCACAGUACAGAGACACCUCCGCCCCAUCCACCUCACAGUACAGAGACAGAGACACCUCCGCCCCGUCCACCUCACAGGACAGAGACAGAGACACCUCCGCCCCGUCCACCUCACAGGACAGAGACAGAGACACCUCCGCCCCGUCCACCUCACAGUACAGAGACAGAGACACCUCCGCCCCGUCCACCUCACAGUACAGAGACACCGCCGCCCCGUCCACCUCACAGUACAGAGACAGAGACACCUCCGCCCCGUCCACCUCAACCUCAACCCAGACCAGACCCCAACCCGUCACCAGGCCUGUCCUGCAGGAGGUCAAGUUAGUUUUGCUCCCUUACAUCCAGCCCCCUGCACCUCCUCAGCCCCAUGCCCAGCCCCGAUCCCCCUUACAGCAGCUCCACCCUGGACCACUCAACCAGCCUCAGCCCCGGCCGCCCCCGGAUCCCCAGGCUCUCCUCCUGACCCGCGCUUUCCAGAUGCAACAACCCAGAACCCUUCGUCCCCAACUUGUUCCCCAGGUCGCUCCCCAACGGUGGCCUGGGGGCCCCUGCGGCGUCCCGGCCCCCGCCGUGCUGGUAGCAUCGGCCCCCGAGCGUCUGGGCCCCGCGGAGACAGGACAUCGCAUCACCCUGGGCAACCAGACUCUCGGGGGCCUCAACCCCCAGCCAGGAGCCCCGCUGCUGUCCCUUGGUCCUCAGGUGGUAGUUACUGAACCUCCCCUCGCCGUCCCAGCUCUCGCUGUUCCCCUAAACCCUAACCCCGUAGCCCCUGUCGUCCCCAGGGCAGCGGAGGAGAGGGCAGGUCCCUCAGUUCAACAGGAAAUCCAGGGACCAGAGAGACCUCAGCUGCAGCCCCACGUCAGAGUACUGGUCAGAGGAGUGUUGGAUCUGUUUCCUGAUGUCCAGGAGAACUAUGUAGCAGAACUCAUCCAGACCAAUGACCUGAAAGACCUCAAUGUGUAA